UGGGGAAUAUUGCACAAUGGGGGAAACCCUGAUGCAGCGACGCCGCGUGAGUGAAGAAGUAUUUCGGUAUGUAAAGCUCUAUCAGCAGGGAAGAUAAUGACAGUACCUGACUAAGAAGCCCCGGCUAACUACGUGCCAGCAGCCGCGGUAAUACGUAGGGGGCAAGCGUUAUCCGGAUUUACUGGGUGUAAAGGGAGCGUAGACGGAGUGGCAAGUCUGAAGUGAAAACCCUGGGCUUAACCUGGGGACUGCUUUGGAAACUGUUAAUCUAGAGUGUUGGAGAGGUAAGUGGAAUUCCUGGUGUAGCGGUGAAAUGCGUAGAUAUCAGGAAGAACACCGGAGGCGAAGGCGGCUUACUGGACAAUAACUGACGUUGAGGCUCGAAAGCGUGGGGAUCAAACAGGAUUAGAUACCCUGGUAGUCCACGCUGUAAACGAUGAAUACUAGGUGUCGGGGGACAAAGUUUCUCGGUGCCGUCGCUAACGCAAUAAGUAUUCCACCUGGGGAGUACGUUCGCAAGAAUG
rnacentral:rRNA from 1 species